AUCCGAGGUUCGUUGCAAUCCCACACGGCAGGAGCGGGGGAACCACUUCUUCGGGCGUCGCGAGACGUCCUCGGGGUGAAGCCCUUCGAAGGGGCCCACACGGGCCCUGACGGGGGCCGGGCACGUACCUCUAGCCCGAACCCGACAGCUCACUUCGUAGGCGUCGAGAGGUAGAACGU
rnacentral:sRNA from 2 species